rnacentral:rRNA from 1 species
CUACGGGGGAGCAGCAGUAGGGAAUCUUCCACAAUGGACGCAAGUCUGAUGGAGCACGCCGCGUGAGUGAAGAAGGUUUUCGGAUCGUAAAGCUCUGUUGUUGGUGAAGAAGGAUAGAGGUAGUAACUGGCCUUUAUUUGACGGUAAUCAACCAGAAAGUCACGGCUAACUACGUGCCAGCAGCCGCGGUAAUACGUAGGUGGCAAGCGUUGUCCGGAUUUAUUGGGCGUAAAGCGAGCGCAGGCGGAAGAAUAAGUCUGAUGUGAAAGCCCUCGGCUUAACCGAGGAACUGCAUCGGAAACUGUUUUUCUUGAGUGCAGAAGAGGAGAGUGGAACUCCAUGUGUAGCGGUGGAAUGCGUAGAUAUAUGGAAGAACACCAGUGGCGAAGGCGACUCUCUGGUCUGCAACUGACGCUGAGGCUCGAAAGCAUGGGUAGCGAACAGGAUUAGAUACCCUGGGUAGU